AUGAACGCUUUUGGAGAAGAGUUGCUGCUGGCUGUAACAGGCAUGUGCACACUCUUUUCUGAAUCCCUCUUCAUCCACCUGUGCACUUUUGUAUAGGAGUCUUUUUAGGUUUUAUGCGGACUUUGUAGAGCUAAGGCUUUGCAAGUGAAGGUCAAGCCUCUAGAACUGGGAAAGCUUCUGUAUUUUUAUAUACCCUAAUGUAUGUCUAGAAUGUCUUUUUAUUGGGGCUUAAGUGACCCUUUAAAAUUUGUA
rnacentral:misc_RNA from 1 species